CAUCAGAUGUUUUCGUAAGAUUACAGGUAUAAACAUGUCAGGUGAGAAAAAUACAAUUGCUUGUCGAGGAAACUACAUUUUAAAGCCAAGACCACUUUGAAACUCAAUCAUGCACAACUGUUUUCAUUAGAGGAUGGCAAAAGAUGACCUUUUUCUGAAAUAAGUAGCCACAUUUCUACAGAAUGUUAUUAAUUGUGCAUGGCUAGCAUAUAUUUGGUUCAAAGCACUGAAAUUUUUGUGUUGGCUGUCAUUCCAUCCUGGCUGAGUUUGAUGCUCGUAGCCAGUUCUCUCUGGCUGUUGUGCACUUACCAUGUUAGGCAUGUACCCAGUUUCUGCCAAAGAAAUGUUUAGAAAGAUGUGAGGUGCAGGUGCCUCAACAUAAUAAAUCUCUAAAGUUACUAAAAGGGCAGAUCGGUGCAUGUAGCUCCCGCUUGCGCAGGGUCCGGGGAAGGGAAGGGUCCGACCACUUCUCUAAAGUUACUAAGCUCCCAGGAAAUAGAACACCCUCAGUGAUCUGUUUUUUUAUGUUUCUAGUCCCACUGGUCAGCUGGUGUUGACGCAAUCUAAACCACUUUGACUAGGUGCCCUGGAUCGCUGCGUUUGGGGGAAACAUGCCUCUUUUUCGCCUCUUCAUGGGCAGCGUGGGGAGGAGAAAAGGCAGUGGGCAGCUUUGUGGCUUCGCUGGAUUGAUUGUGUGUGGUGGCUCCGAGGGGCGGUGCUGCUCCAACCGGCCACCACAUCGACAACCACAGGAACCACUUGGUAGUGUGGUCACCUCAUUCGCGUUGACAUCAGUUGUUCAUCCCUGAAGGUUUGUUGGCGCGUCUGCAUGUGGCCGCUGAUGGGCCUUUGGUCAUUCGAUUUAUUGGGGGUAAUCAGUGGAAGAUGGACUCUAGCUCGGGCUCAAAUGCUGCAGCGAAUCAGCCUGAGGCACUUAGCACGCAGGGAUAGAGAAAACAGAGAAGCAGGAAAGGAGUGGUCAGCCAGACUUAGUGUUGGAGUUUUCAGGUCACUUGCCUUAUAAGUUUUUGAUGUGUUCAGUUACGCAAUUUCAAAAUAGGCUAAUAUUAUCACAAAAUUUUCAGCGGUGACCGCUUAGAAUAUUUGUCAGGCUACAAAGAAUUGGAAGAUAGGAUGCACUUUUCACCAAAUUUGGAAAGAGCACAGCUCAGUCUGGCGUUAUUGCUUAUUGAUAACGUCCUGGAUUUGGCAAGUGGUCAUGUUGUUGUUUAACAAAAUAACUUUUCAUCAGACCUAACAAAGUUAUAGAUCAGUCAAAAACUAGACCACUGGGACAAGAAAGAGAGAAACAUGGAAAGAAAGAGAGAAAAUAAAAGAUGUGAAGCCUUCUUAUCUCUUAUCAGUAUGCAAAUAGAUGAACAAUAAGGUACUUGCUUAGUAUUGGAACUAUCAUGCUAAUUGUUUCAGGUUUGGAAAGAAAAGCACUGGAGUUAGGAAUAUAGGUUUCACAUCAAAAAAAUCGGCUGACAUGCAUUGCAACUUGCCACUGAUUGGUAAACAUCAUCUCCUCUAUUUAUUGCUCUCAACGGGUGCACCCUACAAAUCAAAGCUAUAGUGUUGAUGUCGCAUUCAUAAUUCAUUCCCUGUUUUUAUUGUUUCACAAACAUAAAUGUCAAUUGCUAAGAAUUACUUGAUCAAAUUGCUGUAAUAUGGGUAGAUGAGACAUAUUUCUGGUGGAUACUGCAUGUUAGUUCUCUUUUGUAGGUCAGAAUAAAUGUGGUCAUAUUUGUAUUCUCUUCCGUCGGUUUACAGUCCUUGUGAUGAUUAUAACUGAUGUUUUCAUAGACAUUAUUUUAAUCUUUUUAACAAGGGGAUGUGAAGAGCUUUAUCUAUAUCUAUACCAAUAUAAAAAGACCCUAAGGGGCAGAUCCAAUUAAUCUCAGCCAUCAAAUAAGGUCAAUCCAACGACCCAAAUUGCUCCAAUGAUGAGCGCUCAACAUGUUUAACAUGCAACAAAUAUCAACGUCAGCGCUAAUCACACAAUUAACACAAAAAUGGUAUCUUACACUUUGCUGCUGCCAUUGUGUGACUGGAAGCUGACACAUCGGUGUGACACUUCUGCGUCCCAGUGCUCCACAGGGCAGCAGUUUGGUUGGGUGUUUAUACUUUAAAUUUGUAAUCAACACCUUCCAUUACAAUGGUGAGUUGUGCAUACGCAAGCAGUCUACUGUGAGAUGCAUAUUAAAAAAAAAUUGCAGGUUGAUACGAAAAACACACUUUUCAUUUCUGUAUGUGCCUUCUCUGACAUGCGGAGGAUUUGUCUCAAAAGUUUAUAUGAUUGGAGAUAAUAAAAUCUCUACUCUCUGGAACGACCUUUCUUUUAUUUAUAUACUUCCAUUUGUGUGUCUGAAAGUAUGUGCACUGUGCAAGACAUAGCCACUGUCCUUUUGGUUUUGAAAGAAUGAUAUUUCAUGAAUUGCGUGAUUAUGCUUUGAUAAAUGCUCUCGAGGAAUCAAGCUUGCUUGAAGAUGUAAGUUUAUUUGAUGGUUUUGUGUCACUUCUGAAUUUUUAUAUUAUUAUACGCUCAGAUACUAAAGGUAACUUUGGAUAACUUCCUACUAAUACAGUGAAUGAUGAUCUGCCUUGACACUAGAAUUUAUCAGGAGGUUGCCAAUGCCAUUGGUUCCACUCGUCUCACUGAAGCUCAAUUGGUUCAGGAGGCCAGCUUUGUGGUUCAGUCUACUAGGUCCUACACCGCAGUUUUUCCUUCCCAUUUUGUCAACUUCAAAACCUAGCUGAUAUAUCUUGUCAGGUUCUCUGGGAGCCCAUUAACCAAUAGGCAAGCAAUAGAAAGAAGUUGUCCAAAAUGAAUUAUGUUAGCCUGUGAUUUGUUUGCAUCAGAAGUUUUAUUUAAAGAAUUCCUUCUUUGAUGAUUUAUAACAGGAAACAUGGCAUGACAAUGGAAACGGUGCGGCGAAGCGCACAUUUUCUUCAAGUAUUAUUGAAAUGCUACAGAUUGUAAAAAACUGAUAUUUUGAUUAUAUGUGCAAUUGCAAGGAUAAAAAUUGAUAUUAGUCAAAUAAAACAAUCUUCGGUAAAAAUUAGCAGCAACAACCUAGGAAGAGAAAUUUAAAUGAAUAAACAAUAA